GAGGAUGCCUUGACUCUUACAAGCGAUGAAGGACGUAGUACGACUGCGAUAAGCACCGGGGAGCUGUCUAACAAGCGUUAUAUCCGGUGAUCUCCGAAUGAGGAAACUCGUAGAGGGUUAUGCCUUUACACUGCGAAAGCAGAGCAGACCCAGGGAAGUGAAACAUCUCAGUACCUGGAGGAAAAGAAACCAAUUGAGAUUCCCUUAGUAGCGGCGAGCGAAACGGGAGGAGCCCAAAACUUAUGGUAGCAAUACUAUAGAGGGUUGUAGGGCAGAUACGUCGGUAGUAAUACUGACAUAAGUUACAAAAGAUGCAUAUAGCUGAAUGCGCUGGAAAGCGCAGCCCUAGAGGGUAAUGGCCCCGUAAGCGAAAUAUGUAUCUCUUAUGCGUAUCUGUUCCUGAGUAACUCUGGACAUGAAUAGCUUGAGUGAAUCCGGCGGGACUAACCGCCAAGGCUACAUAUUGUAAGAGAUCGAUAGUGAACUAGUACCGUGAGGGAAAGGUG
rnacentral:rRNA from 1 species